rnacentral:rRNA from 1 species
UACGUAGGGUGCGAGCGUUUGUCCGGAAUUAUUGGGCGUAAAGAGCUCGUAGGCGGUGUGUCGCGUCGGUCGUGAAAACUUGGGGCUUAACCCUGAGCUUGCGGUCGAUACGGGCAUCACUGGAGUUCGGCAGGGGAGACUGGAAUUCCUGGUGUAGCGGUGAAAUGCGCAGAUAUCAGGAGGAACACCGGUGGCGAAGGCGGGUCUCUGGGCCGAUACUGACGCUGAGGAGCGAAAGCGUGGGGAGCAAACAGG